rnacentral:lncRNA from 1 species
UCCACUAGAGGGAAUACUGAGAAGUUUGCAUUGGGAGAUUCGCAUGACAUACGCUCAGGAUAAAGAGGGCAUACUGUGUGCACAAAAAACCAUGUGGCGCCCUUAAAACUCACCUCAUGAAUAUGUACAGUGAGUGGUUGCGAGAUGAAAGUAAAAUAGAUGGAAGGCAAAAAUUUUUUAGCUUCUGCCUUCGACACUGAAUGUUCAUUUACUGUGAAAUAUAUGCUCAAUCACUCAUUUUUACCUCAUCUACCAAUUGAGAAUCUACCUUUUACAUUGGUUUUCGUGACAUAUAUUCAAUCUGCACUUUUUCUCUAUUUUCCCCGUUAUUUUUGCAUCCGUAUUAGUGUGAAAGGAAGGUUUGGCUU